UCAUCAAGGCUCGCUGUGCAGAUUC
rnacentral:piRNA from 1 species